rnacentral:rRNA from 1 species
GCGCGCAAAUUACCCACUCCCGGCACGGGGAGGUAGUGACGAAAAAUAACAAUACGGGACUCUUUUGAGACCCCGUAAUUGGAAUGAGUACACUCUAAAUCCUUUAACGAGGAUCUAUUGGAGGGCAAGUCUGGUGCCAGCAGCCGCGGUAAUUCCAGCUCCAAUAGCGUAUAUUAAAGUUGUUGCGGUUAAAAAGCUCGUAGUUGGAUCUCAGUUCCAGACGGGCGGUCCACCUAACGGUGGUUACUGCCUGGCCUGAACAGCCAGCCGGUUUCCCUAGAUGAUCUUCACCGGUUGUCUUGGGUGACCGGCACGUUUACUUUGAAAAAAUUAGAGUGCUCAAAGCAGGCGUGUAGCCUGAAUAAUGGUGCAUGGAAUAAUGGAAUAGGACUUCGUUUCUAUUUUGUUGGUUUUCGGAACACGAGGUAAUGAUUAAGAGGGACAGACGGGGGCAUUCGUAUUGCGACGCUAGAGGUGAAAUUCUUGGACCGU